AUUGAACGCUGGCGGCAGGCUUAACACAUGCAAGUCGAGCGGGGUGAUGGUGCUUGCACUAUCACUUAGCGGCGGACGGGUGGGUAAUGCUUAGGAAUCUGCCUAUUAGUGGGGGACAACAUAUCGAAAGGGAUGCUAAUACCUAAUACGUCCUACGGGAGAAAGCAGGGGGUCACUUGUGACCUUGCGCUAAUAGAUGAGCCUAAGUCGGAUUAGCUAGGUGGUGGGGUAAAGGCCUACCAAGGCGACGAUCUGUAGCGGGUCGGAGAGGAUGAUCCGCCACACUGGGACUGAGACACAGCCCAGACUCCUACGGGAGGCAGCAGUGGGGAAUAUUGGACAAUGGGGGGAACCCUGAUCCAGCCAUGCCGCGUGUGUGAAGAAGGCCUUAUGGUUGUAAAGCACUUUAAGCGAGGAGGAGGCUCUUUUGGUUAAUACCCAAGAUGAGUGGACGUUACUCGCAGAAUAAGCACCGGCUAACUCUGUGCCAGCCGCCGCCGUAA
rnacentral:rRNA from 1 species